UACGGAGGGUGCAAGCGUUAUCCGGAUUUACUGGGUUUAAAGGGUGCGUAGGUGGGUAAGUAAGUCAGUGGUGAAAUCUUCGAGCUUAACUCGGAAACUGCCAUUGAUACUAUUUAUCUUGAAUACUUUGGAGGUAAGCGGAAUAUGUCAUGUAGCGGUGAAAUGCUUAGAUAUGACAUAGAACACCAAUUGCGAAGGCAGCUUACUACGGAUAUAUUGACACUGAGGCACGAAAAGCGUGGGGGAUCAAAACAGG
rnacentral:rRNA from 1 species